CCAUGAAAAUCUGCAUGCAAAUGCAUAAUAAUCACAAAUCUACAUUAUUACAAUAUUAAAAAAUACCUACAAUUAAAUUAUCAUGUGGAAAUAAUCAUAAUGUUAUUGGAAACUCAAUUAUUGUGGCAACCCUUGUCAAGGAAUUAGCAGGCUAUGGCAAAGGCAAGUCAGACCUGAAUUCAUCAAAUAUAUAUUAUCACAAUAUUACAUGUUCACUUCGAUUCCAUGCAAAGACAAACAUCCUCACUCACUAGUAUCUGCUCAAUGCAUUUGUAUUAUUCAUGAACAACUCUGUGAUCUAUUAUACAUACAAAACUGAUUGUACGCUGCUUGCCGGAGGCUACAAUGCAGAGACACAGAAUUAAUUUUAUUAUAUACACAUGCAUGAUAAUUGUGUAGAAUUCAGUCAAAUAUCAAACUCUGCUCCUGUGCUCCAUUAUUUUACUUUCCAAAAAGAGGUCUAAGGUCAGCAGCAAUUUCUCUUUGGCGACGGUGAAACUCUUUGUCAUUUAGAGUAGAAAGUUCCUGGGUACUAAUGAGCCUGGAGCUGUGAUGAAUGGUCACACAUUCCCUUUCCUCUCCAACCUCCACUAAUCAAAGGGAGACUGUAACUUUUAUUGAGAUUCUCAAGAAUUCCUUGCCUCUUUGCACACAGAAUUCACUUUGGGCUGCUGACUUAGAUACUUCAUUUGUCAGAGAUGAAGGCAACACUUAUGGCUUCAGAAACUUGACUACAAUUUUCUGAGAAGAUGAUCAGUACAACUUGAAAAACUUGUUUUCAGAUAGAUUUUUAUUUCUGUAAGAGCUACUGUUAUUUCAGUAAACUCUUAGAAAUGCUUUCAUAGGGCCAUUUUUCCUGUGAUAUGUUUUCACUAAGAACAAGCAACAACUACCUGUCCCUUUCUUCAACAGGGCAAGGAACAUACAGUAUGAUCCUUACCUGCUUCCAGAUCUUUUGCCAGAAAAAUAAAGAUGAGUACCAUCCAAAAAAAUUAUGGUUGUUUUGAGAUAUCGGGAGUGAGACAUAUCAAUCUCCAAAGGAGCAUUCAACAAGCUGCACUACAUCAAAGUACUGGGCUGCAUUCUAACAUGACUGAAAGCUUGACUUCAACAUGUUUCUGAUUAGGUAAAUGCCAGACCAACUGGGACAAAUGGCAUACGUGUGAAUCUCAGCAACACUAAGUAUCAAACCCUGAAUUUUAUUUAUUUAUUUUUAAUUUCCAUUCACUCUCAUUAUCCAUCCAAUAUCUGAACUUUUGGCUAUCAUACUCAUCUGAGUUUUAGGGUUGAAAAAAAUUUACUCCUUGCCCAGCACAUUCAGAGUAGAGUUCCAUUCAAGCAUAUUUGACAUUCACUCUUGCAUUACUGCAUUGCUUUCAAGAGUCAUGAGCAGAAUGUGUGCUUCACAGCAUUUAUAUUCUAGUUUCACAGAAUUCAGAGAUAAACUGUAGCAAGUACUCUCUAGAAUUUCUCUAAGUCUACUCAUCUGUCAGGAGUAAACAUCCUCAUCUUUAAAUCUUUCAUAUAUUUAUGUCAUGACCAGAAUCCAUCAUUUCAUAUAGCUAAGAACAACAUAGGAUGAUCUGGAUUUAGUAUUGCAUAGCUCACAAGCCUGCCCUCAAAAUUUACUAUAAGUGGGUAAAGCCAGCAUUGUUCUAAUUAAGCAAUGUGAAAGACAUAAAAUCUCAGAAAAGAAAUGAGCUAACCCCUCACAUAGUAUGAUGUUCCAUCACAACAAAUAAUGAAUAAACAAAAUUGGUCUUCUUAUCUUGGCUGGCUCAUGGUAAUCAACAACAGAAGUAGCAAAAAGCACAGCUCUGACAAGUCUCCAGGGCAGCACCUAAAAUGCCAGAGGCAUGGAAGAAAAGACCUUGCAUUGAAAACCAACUCAGUAACGCAUUUUGUCAUUAAUUGCUUAUAAAAGAUAAAGUUCUUAAAAAUAUCUGUUUUUCGGUAGGCAUAUGCUACAACUUCCUCAGUAACAGUAAUGACUCUGAGGUGCCAGUAUCUUUUGAACAUCUUUUUCUUCCAUGGUAAAUCCACUUAUUUCCUGCCAUAUCAGGCUAGCUAGGCAAUUAGGUGAGCAGUGGGACCUCAAGGCUCGGACAGUGCAAUUUCACUUCAGCCUUCGCUGUGGAAGUAGUUAACAAGAUAUUGGCUCAAAGAGAUUUUCCUAGAUUGUUAGCUUGACAUGAUCAGGCAGGCAGUAAUAUAAUGGGGAGAAAGACCCUACUGGAAUUGAUUAAUUUGUCACCAUUACCCAAGACCUGACAGUUUUUUCAUACAUAUAUGAAGUGUCAGUGGUUCCAGCUUAUUUCUCUGAUUAGAACUAAACUCAUGUAGUUUGGGUUCAGAAAGAAAUACAAAGUUUAAGAAAUUUAGUUUAACCUCAUCCAAACCACCAAGCCUCUUAACCAUACAAAGAGAUGAAAAUAGUUGAGAAGAUGCAUUUUUAUUAAAACUGAGAUUGUUGCUUUGUCUGGUGCACAACAAAAUACCUCCAUGGGUUACUCAGCAUUUUCCUGCUUGUCCUCAGCUGCUGACAUACACAGGAGAAAAGCAUUGCUGUUAAACCACAUUUUCCAAGCUUGUAAAAUAUCCUUAUUUUAAAAAUCUUGUAGCUUUUAAUUGGUUCGGCCAACCACAAUUAUUAGAAGCCACACUAGAACAACCAGGUAACCAGCAAACUCUUCUAAAGACAAGUGUUCUUGUUAUUUCUUCAGUUAACAUUUAUUUUGCAUGUAUCCGUAAAAUCACUACAUGGAAAGACUGUGCAUACACAGAACAAGUAUUGGCUUUAUUUUCUUGCCAGGCAGCAUUGCUCAAGCACAGACCUCUUGACAUUUAAUAUUCAUAGUGCAGAAGCAUCUACUGAUUCCAAUAAGAAACAAGAAACGUUGCGAGAGAUGUCAUACAAAAAAAAAGUCACAGUUCUGCCACAAAGUACUUUCAGUUAUACAGGUUGACAAAUCAACUAUUGCCACACUGUGUACAGUGUAAGAAAUAUUUUUCAGUGAUUUUCUAGUCACCUUUAAAAAGAAUUGACACUAUAGGUAGCUCUAUAUAGUAAUGCAUAGGACAUUACUUCAGCAGUUACUGAGGCAAAAUAACUACAUCACCUUACCUUUGUGCACAUGUAUUUUAUGUCAGCAGAAAAUUCAACAUGAUAGUAUUCGCAAAGCUGAAUCUUAUUCAGAAGACAAAAAAUAAAAUUAGGCUAAAAUGAUGUACAAAGAAGAAUUAACAAUUUUUUUUUUUUAAUUUUCAUCUUAAUGGAAACAGUUUGACAUUUAAUUUCAGAAUUGAGUAAUUUUGCAUUUAUUUAUUUUUGAGAGAUGCACCCCUUUUCCAAUAUUUCCUUCCCAAAGAGACAAUCUAAUAAUGGUCUGCUUGUGUCUGUGUUAACAGAACUUUAACUCUUAAUGAAUAGGAGAAAAAAAAAAUGUGGGUUUUUUUUUUAGGUUUUGUUAAUAACAAUAUAAUUAUAUAUAAUAUAUAUAUAUAUAGUAAUUAAAAAAAAUCAAAUCUUUGCAUAGUCCUCUUAGCCAUGAUUGUUCUUCCUUUCUAGGAGGCAUAUUAAGAUAGAACAGAUUACUUUUGAGGUGAGUUUAGUGUUCUUUGGUAAAUGCGCAUUACUGGCUAUGAACAGCUUUCCCAAAGCUGGGUGAGAUCCGGGCAUAGGAGUAGUGUCCUCCAGUCACAUAGAUCCCCAGCUCUAUCUUCGGCAGCCCACUGACAGCUGCCGGCAACCCAAAUCCCCCAUAUGAGACAGUACAGGAUGCUCCUUCAAAUAUCUCCUUGAUGCCAAGAAUGUUUCUAUGGUAAUUCUGCAUACAAAAUUACAGGCUCGUGCUGUGUAAGAGGCUGUGCAAGGGCCCAAGGAGAUGAAUAAGCCUAUCUAAGGUUGUGCAUACCCAGGGGGCUUCCAUUAUUUUGGGUGCAAGGAAAUACAAAGAUGGAAUAAUAACAAUGUUGUGCUGCACUUCAAUUGUUAAAUUACUUCAAUACCUUGCUCACAGAUGUGCUCAUGUGAAUCUAAUCAAGCAACUCCUCUAAGACAGCAAAGAUUAUUUUGAGAGAUUAUUCCUGUUUUUACUACAGAAAAAGAAGUGCCAGCCUUUUAGGAUCAUUUGUACAUAAGUGCAUGUGUGUGCACACAAACACAGACAUCUUCCCUCUAUGAGCACACGAAAAAGCCAAGGCAAAAAAAUUCCCACAUACAGAACACUACUCUGAGAAAGAUAGGACUUCUAGUAACAGAUUUGCAUUUUCAUGCAAAAAAAAGAAAAAAAAAAAAAACCAAAACCAAAUAAAUCCAUGCCAAAAACUUGUCUGAUUGCUUAUCUACUUACACAUUUGUAACAAAGAACAACAGGGCAAAAGAAAAGGUGGCAUCAUCAGAAAUGGGUACCUGAAGAAAAAAGAAAAGAAAAAAAGAUUUUUCUAUGCCACUCUAAGUCCCAGAAAGGGGAGCCUUUCAAUAUCUUCUCAAAUAAUUUUUGCUUCAGACUCUAAGACAGCACAUUCAACAAUUCAAUUUGCUGUUCGAUAAUAGGGACCCAGACUGGCUUUUUAAUGCAUAAAAAGAAGUUGCAUCUUUUUUCUUUAUUUUUCUGUAUGUUUGUUUGUUGCUUACUGACAUCAGAUUUCCUGCAGGCAUCCUAACCUAGCAAUUGAAGAAAUUGCUCUAGGGUUUUCCAGGCAUAUAAUACACCUGGAUAAAAAGUGCUAAUUGUCACCAACUUCCAUUAAAUGACAGCAGUAAGGCACAAAAUGUGCUUGAUUUGCAGACGCUAGUGCCACUGGGAGUUAGCAGCAGAUUAAUAAUUGUGCAGACCUCGAACAUUCCCCUGGCACUGACAGUCUGGGCUUCCAACACAAUGCCAGAUUAUGAGGCCUUUGCUUUUAGCUUGCCUUCCUAAUAGGGCUCAGGCAAUUGCAAGGUUCCUCUGUACAUGUGUUUGACUGUUUGACCUUCCAGAAAGACUUCUGGUCAAUAUGAAUACAUUUUUUUGUGGGAGGGUAGAGGUCACAAACAGGCAAUAGCCUAAGCGGUUUUCUGAAAAGCAGGCAGCUGGGUGGACAUCAUCAAGCCUGAGUUUAAGUGCUCCUAAUAUCCUGACUUGCUAGGUUCUUGAAGAGAACUGAACCCUAAUUCUGUUCAUUCUAUUAGCACUAAGUCACAUGAUGAUCACAUCAGACUAUGUUCUCAGGUUUUUUCCUUCUUUUUUUUUUUUUUUUUUCAAUUUCAUGUCAUACACAAGCUUGAAGCCUUGAGUGCACAUCAAGCAUUACGGUAUUGCACAGAUAUAAUCUUAUUCCAGCUCCCUGCAGACAAAUUCAGGGGCCAACGCUUUGCCUUCCUCUUUCUUCUCGCUCUGCUGUUGCCAUUUCCUCUUUGCUCUCGGCACACGUGGGCACAUUCUCUUGGCUUGGAAGAAACCAUCUCAUGGCAUGCAAGCUUGCUGACGGCUCCAGUGGCAUUACAAAGCUCAUUUCUGCGUGCAGCAACAUGAUUAUGGAGAAGGAGAGGGCAAGGUUGAACGAAUGUGUUUUAACACUUCUUUCUUGGUAUUUAUGACUAUGCCAUAGCAUUCCUGUAACCUGGCCUGCUGCUGCUCCAGCUGCUUGUGCAAGCUCCUGAUCGAACGCAACAGCAGGAGUCUUCGGUACAUUGCUAGCUGGAGCCGAUACUUCUCCUUUUCCUCCUUUUUCUUAUUUUCUAGGGUCUCCAUUACUGUUGUGGUCUUCAUCCAGAUGGCUGAGCCCAGACUGCAAGGGUUGCCCUCAGUGCAGCUCUCCACAGGCCGUGCACUAUCAGCUGGCACAUGGCAGCACCUGAGGUUGUUCACCAACAGGGCCACGACUGCCCUGGGGGGCUUACCAGCCCCGUCAGGCAUCCCAGGGACACAUGAUGCUUCUGAAUCCUGGUCACAGCUACAGUAGACACUUUCAGAGCACGUAUAACUGACAUACUGAUGGCUAAGGAAAGAAGACAACUAAGCUGGAAGAAUAAUAAACAGAGCGCUGUGAGAGAUGGAAGAGAAGAAAAACAUGGUGGGAAGAACUGAGGCAGUGAGGCUAAGUUGCAAAUGAGCAGACAAGUAAUAGCUUGGUGUUUCACCACAAUAUCAAAUGAACUUUCAGAACUUUUCAGAAGUCAAAUGCAUUUAAAAUAAUUAACGAGUUUGCUUUAAAAAGCAUAUGCAUCUUCUCUCUUGUCUGUUAAGCCAGAAUGAUACAAGGAGAGAUUGUGAAGAAAAUUAUAUCUACAGGCAUUGUUUUUUUGUUAUUGUUGUUAAAAAUAUUUCCACAUUAAGUGGCAAAAGAAAAAGAAAGAAAAAAAUGUAUUCAUGUUCUUUGAGCCUAACAAUUUCUGUGAAUCUUAAGAUCACUCUUGAGGACCAACUCUACAGAUCAUCAUCAAGAGGUAAAAAAAGAUCACACCUGGAAAGAUCUGAAAAAUUCUGUUUUCUCAUUUAGCAUGCCUCCCUGCUAAACAUACGUGUCAAUCCUUGCAUAGCACCCCGAGCAAUCCAGCUUUACUCAUAGUGUCUGCAUAGACGCCAAUACUGUUUGUGUUCAACACAAACAAAAUCAAAAACUUUAAGUUCACUUGGGGCUGAGAAGGACCUUAAUACCUUUGAAGCUAUUAGUGUGACUGAAAUGGAUGAGACCAAACAGGAUACACAGCUGUCACCAAAACCCACAAACUGAGCACUAUGUAGUGUUGCUGAUAUAAACCUCAUUUACAUGAGAGCUAACACAUGACUCUGAGAGAAGGCACAUGGACCACUGGGUUUGAGGUACGUGAUCAUGUCCUUAUCUUGCACUGCUCAGCAGACUGUAUUUUUGCACCCUGCUUCCAGAGGUUAGCAUAAGCAUGGAAAAUUCUUUUACACAUUUAAUUACACUCUUACAUCUAGAGGCCCUUUGCUCCGUUUAUCAGAGUCCAACUCACUGUCUAUAGAAUUAUUAUCAGACAAAUCCCUGUCUCUUCCUUCUAAGUAAAAGGUUUAAGAGAUUAGAAAGUAGAAGAGAAGCCAUAUACAGCUAAUGGAGGACAAGCCUCCAAAUGUUUGGAGGUUUAUUUCAGAGAUACAUAUCUACAUACUCUUAUUUUUUAACAGAAGAACAGAUACAGAGUCCAAUUUUGACUUGCUUGAACAGAGGACAGGAUAAGAAAGAACACUCUGAGAUAUUACCCUUCUGAAGUCUCUAGCUGAACAGAAGAAAUAAUGUGUUUCCCAGCAAUAAAGAGUAGUUAGGUACUGAAUGUCAAAAUUGUAAUGUUCUGAAGUUCCCGGCAGCUCUACCUGCUUGAACCCCUGCUGAACCUCCCCACGCUACCUCCUUGAGCCCCAGGCAAAGGCCCUGCUACAAUUGAUAUCUGUAGUCCUAAAUCCUUGUCAUACCCAGAAGGUGCUAGCAAUCUGCCAUUAAACUCCAGUAACACUAGGCCAACAUUUUACCCUCGGUUAUGCUCACAGAGCUUCCUUUAGUGCAAUUUGACCAACAUUAAAAAUGGAGAGCAAGAACAUCAUCAGCUAUCAACGCUAUGUUUGCCACACUGCAAGCCUUCUCAGCUAAAGCACCACCAGCCUCACUACUUUUAGUUGUUCCAAACUAGAUUCCAACAGCUAGUGGAGGUAUUGUACUAAUUAAGAUUUCGAGAGUAGAAAGCGAAAUCAUCCUGUCUGACCUCACACUUGGCAUAUUACAGUUCCUUGCUUUCCUACACGAGAUUGUAUUGAUAACAACCAAUUGCCAGUAGGGAUCUGAGGCAGCGAGGUAAAUAAAUAUAUAAAUGCCUCCAUAUGUGUUCUCCACUUCCUUAAGCAAAAAUAAUGAGUCAAAUGAGUGAAAGAUCUGCAGCUCUCUUUUGUAUAUAGUUGCUGUACAUAUACCAACAUGGAAGAAGCCUUCCACAGACUUCUGUCAUCACUCUGUGUGAAAAAGCUCUUUUAAAGGAACAGCUACCAAUAGGCAAGUGAGCCAGAAUACUUUUGUGCAGGAAUGUGCGUUUCUCACAUAGCUCAGGCUACCAAAAGGAAUACAAAUAUUUGCAGGAGUAGAAAAAGAUGCAGAAAGGACAGUGAAUCCUCUCACUGCUGAAACACCCUAAGUAGAAGCAGUGGAGACUCCAAGGAGAAGAAGAGUCUGGAGAAAUCAGCAACUUAAGAGUAACAGUGAAUGAGAAGAAGAGACUGGGAGAGGGAAGAAAAAGGCCUCUGGAUUUCCACCAGAAUUAAACUGGAGAAAUGGGAGCAGGAGGGGCACAGGAGAAGCAGGUUAAAGAGAUUUUGCUCCUAUCUUCGUCAGCAAAGAGGGAGUAGGAAACAAGACCCGGACAGCAUUUCUCCCAAGUCUGCUGCUCUAGGCAACUGUUUACUUUGCUUUUGCCCAAGAUAGCGUGAGACGUUAUAAAAUGAGUUUCCACAAUGCUCUGAGUCACCAGAAUAUGGAUGAGAUCUGUGGAUUCAAGCCACCUUUCAAGAUUAUGAAUCUCUUCUGAAUAUCCAUUAUGCCAAUGAUACAUAACAAAAUCACUGCUGUAAUGUGAUGCACAUGUCAACUUUAAGGAUACAGUCCCUGCUCAGAUGGCAUCAGCAUAGGGAAACGUCAGCAUGGUGGAUUACCAGAGCAAAUGCUUUAACAUGCAAUGUGAUGCAAUGUGUUUUAACAACAAUUGUUCCCUUAUGUUUGUUUGUGUCAGGUUUGACGUGACUAUCCGCCAGGACAAUGCUCAGGAUUCUGUGUGUUGCAUUGCAGAAACUGAUUAUGUGAUCAAAUGCUUAAAGCACAUAAAAUCACGCCCAAGAUUCGAUGAGAUAUAUAUGCCAGAAAAUUCAGUAGGUGCUUAAAGUAAUUGACGCUAACAGCUAGACCUGGGUUUUUCAAAGGAAUAAGCGUUUUUGUUUGUUUGUUUUUCCUAAUGCAAUAUAAUAUAAACUGCCUAGAAAUUCAGCCUUAGCAUAAUGUUCAGAUCAAAUGAAAUUCACCCGUUAAGAAAGAACAUACACAGGGUCCUCCCUGAAGUGGAAAAGACAGCCUCUGAGUAGAACAGAUACCCUGGGAGACUUCUUACCCUGUGCACAUGCCCAAAAAGACAGCUCUGAAUCUAACUGCAUUGUAGAUCUAAUGCUUGUAGGAUUUGGAGGCUCAACGCUGAGCUGUAGCUCUCAGCAGCCCUUUUUCCCCAGUCCGUGAAACUCAGAAUCCAGUGGAGACAAAAACCUCUAUAGAAAUACUGUAUAUGUAAAUGGACUUAGAAGAAAAAGGGAGGGGUACCUGCUCUUAAAUUAGUCAUAUUUAAAAUGUAUUCUCAGAACACACUGAACUAUCAAACAGUCCCCAAAGUGAAGAAAUGUGAUUCUCAUUCAAGACUUAAGAGCAAAAGGCAAAACAACUGUGUCCCUUGCUCCAAAGUCAUUAUCUCACAUUAAGACUUCAUCCUGUUCUCCCAGUUCAGAAUUUAGUCUGGUUCUAAUGGCUCACUAGACAGUUUUGCAAGAUCUUCAUGCUCUCAUAGGUAUUUAGGCACUGAAAUCAGUGAGAAGUGGUACCUGUACACUUUCAGAAAUCUGUCUUUAAUUUCAACAUCCCAUAAAUUUUUUUAACAAAAACAUCCUUCAUCUUUUCUGCUUCACAAGUGAGUUGUGAAGCUUAAUUACACAAUGAUUAUGAAGUCCAGCAAAUACAACAUAUAUUAAGAGUAGUUAAUGAGAUUUCUGUCACAAGCAGACUCCCUCUUGUAAAAUAUUACUCACAUGUUGCAGGAAAAAAAACUCAAGAGAAAAAAAUACAGAUGCAUUAAAUAUAAAACAAAUCUAGCUUGAUUACUUCCACAAAUAAUAUGUUAUACAACUCUAAAACAUCUGUCAGGACAGCAUAGAGAAUAGCAUAGGCUUUUCUGACCAGAAUGGAAUCCUGUCAGCACGGAAUUCUGUCAGCACAUCCAUGUACUCAUUUUUACCUGCAGUGCCCAUCCAAGACAGGGCCUCCAGACCCACACACGAUCUGCUUCCCAUGAGAUCUAGUGGCUUAAAUACCUUCAAAGACCAGACAUGAAGUUCUGUUCCUUCAAAUCACAGAAUCAUGGAAUCAUAAAAUGGCUUGGGUUGGAAGGGACACCCAAGGAUCAUCAAGUUCCAAUCCCUCUGCUGCAGGCAGGGCCACCAACCUGUGGUGGUUGUAAAUAUUUCCCAAAAAGAUGCCAGCAUACUAACCAAUUACCACAUUUAACAGCACAGUGGAAGAUGGCUAGACAACUAUGAGCAGACAGACGAUCGUACAGAAGGCAUUGCUUGCAUACUUAGUGAUUUCUCAGGCCAUAACAAAGCAUACAGCCUAACUAGGGUAGGAGGACUCAAAAGAGGAAGACCAUUCCUUAAUAAUACAGAGCUCUUUGGCACAUUUCUUUUCUGUGAACAAACAGUGUAGCUGUUAAAAUACAUUUCCUGUUAGCAAUUAUGGCUCAGAGCUCACAGACGCUUUUACAGAACUUGGACAGGAGUGAUUUUCAGUACAUAGUGUCUCUAACAGCAAGUUAUAUUAAUAUUCACCAAAGGAAAACCUGUUUGUUGACCCAAAGUGUGACUGCUUACAAUUCUCUUCUUGUGAAAUUAUUUAGGUCCUGUGGGACAACUGUACUGAGCUUUUGACGCAAAUAUUAAAAUUCUAUUUAAAUGUACAAUGUUUUAAUGCAAAUUUUUACCAUAAAACCAAAUGCUCCAUUCAGUUAAAUUAAUAGAAUUACAAAAAGAUGUAAUGAUAGCAAUUAAGUCUUGAAAAUGCAAAUUUUAUAGUCAAGGACAAUUACCUCAUUUAUAGUAUCCUGGAAUGAUGCCAGAUGAAGGUAAUUUAGAUCUCCCUAGCUCACAGUUAUAUCAUGAAGGAUAUCUUAAUUUCAUUAGUACAACAAAGAUGGGUGAGAACUUGGACAAUAUGAAAAAAAAAAGGGAGGGAGAGAUGGGAGAGAAAAUUUGACCUUUCUCAUUUCACCGCAACUAGAAUACAUAGAUCUUACUAAAGGAUUAGUAAUAUUUCUUUCUAUUCCUAUCUCUGGGGAAAAAAAGGGGGGGGGGGGGGGCACUUUUUUCUUUUCUUUUUUUUUAUUAGCAGCAAUGGAACAUUAGUAUGAAAAAGGUCAACUCCCUUCAGAUUCUUAGAGCCACUAUGCCCACAUCACAACAGUUAUGGACCAUUCCUUCUUUCAGUUUUAAGGAUGAAUACAGCAUUGGCUCUUGGCUGACAGAGUAUCAAGCUAUGGCCUAGGGACACAUGGUUUUGACUCCAAUAUGAUUUAAAAUGUUCUUGAAAAAUUCUUCUUGCUCUUACAAAUACAGCCCCACUUCAUCCAAAGAGGCAAGUCAAAAAUCAUCAGUUUCUCAUUAGCAAGCAAAGAGUGAUCAAGUAGACAAAGAAUACAGAUUGAUAUGCCAUAGAUUCAGUAGUCUCCUUUGAAGGAAAAACAAAACCAAACUCUCAUACAAGUUCUUUAGCACAUUAUCAAGUUCAAAUAGGAGUUUGCAAUACUGCAGAUAUCCCUCUUCCUUUCCUUUCUCUUUGCUGUAGUAGCUACCCUUGACCCUUGAAGAGAUUUCAAAAAAAAAGCAUAUUAAAUAAGGUGCACCAUAAAGUUUAAUUUUAAAACUUUACAACUCUCAAUUUUUCUUCCUGGCCUGUUGUAGCCACUGCAAAGAAACUCAACUUCCAGAAAAAUAGCUGCAUCCACCUAAAAUCUUCUUACAUCAAAUUCCCUUACCAAACCUAACAUGUAGGCUCUGGAGAGAGCGGAAACCUCCAAGGACAGAGUAGCAAACUUCACCUCUCUCCUUAUCUUGAACACAACUAACAAAGAUAACAUGAAAAAGCCUUCCCAAGAGUAGAAAUAUCUGCUUACCGUCAGCAUUUGGUGGUUUUGCUGUAGAUGGUGCAUGCUGAAGCCAUCCCAACCUCCUGCUGACAAACCUUUCCUUAACACCCUGAGAUAGGCAGGUUCUAGAGGAUCGGCUUUAUAACUUCGAACAGCACCACAUAGCGACAGGAAUGCAGCAUUAGAAACCCCCAACACUCCUCAGAAAGGGUUUCUUCCAUCCAGUUAUUCUGUUUUAUGAAAAACAAGCCUUUUCUGAAGGAAAAAGUACCUUAAUUUUUCAUGUCAACGAUGCUAUCAGUCACCUCUGCCGCUUGAAAACAAUGGAUGACACUCUGGCUCAAGGAAAGCCACCUGCUUCCUUUGGGGUUAAGACGUCUUUUGGUGAAUUUCAUCUCCUAUCAAGCAAUAGCAAAAUUAGAGCUUGUACCACUAUUGCCUUCGUUCCGUGCUUUUGAUGCUUAUAAUCCCAUUACACCUGACAACUUAACCUGAGCUUGUUAUUCAUAGACAUGUAUGGUCUGAUGAAACAUUCCCAACUCCUGAAAAAUCUUUUUGUGUGUUGUUGGGAGAUUUGGCCUAAUAAGAAGUGCUUGAGUGGGUGUAGACUGGGUAUGUUUGUGCCAUAUUAUACAAUAUGGCUUAAAUUUCCAUGGCAUUUUAUUGGAAAGUGUGAACCUGACAAGCUAAUAGUUUGUGAAUCUGUUGAGUCUCUGCUGUUGCAUGGAGAAACGUUUUGUCUAGGCUAUUCCCAGUAUGCUUCAAUUGUAAAAAAAACAGGCUGCGAUCAUAACACAUCUUCAUGUAAAUCAAAGUAAAUUUCUGCAGGACAAUAUUUACCACUGUUAUGUACCGCAGAUCUCCCAAUUCCUCAUUUGACCUAACAGUCGGAAUGAUCUCAGGCCAGCAAUAAGCUGAAUACUGGUUGCUAAGUAAUAUUUAAUUUAAGCAUGAUGUUGUGGUCAACAAAAUGAAUUAGCAUUUUCUGCAUUAAUGAAGAUCCAGGCCUAAAAUCAAAUGAUGAUGUCAAAAAAUUAUGGAAAAUAUUAUUGAUCUAAUUCUUCCUUUUAUUACACUGACAGAGAAACAUGCUUCUUGGAAAUGUUACAUGUGAAGGAAGAAUUUUUCCUAUUGCAUCUUCUUUCAAGAGAUUCAGUUUUCUACUCAGGACUCCAAGAGAGUAAUUUACAUUUGUGAUCACCCAGCCAAUUCAAGGCAACUGUGGAAAGAAACACUAGUAAGAAUUCAUUUUGUUGAUCUUAUCAUAAAUGUGAGAGAGAUUUAACUUUAUCCUAAAUUCCACUAAAACCUAGAAUGCAAUAAAGAAAUAAUCAUACAUGAAUUUGAGUCAGUACUGUUCCUCAUCAUUAGGCCACCUGACAAGCUAGAAAGCAACUUCGCUAGUGCAUAUUCAUUCCAAAUUAAUACAGUAAUUCUGAAAACUGUUUCUUUUUUCCCCUACUUUUAUGCAUUUAUUGCUUUAUUUCUCUAUUGCUAUUUCCAGUCCAUAAUGCAAUGCAGCUUGUGGAAUGUAAUCCCCUUUCUUCUCCUGACCAAACUCCACUCUGAAUGCUGCAUGGAUGGGAUCCUUUCUUUUCUGUUUUUUUAAUGUUUUUCUUCUCACUUUACAUAUUCUCAAAAAUGAGAUGAAUUUCUGAUUAUUUUCCAUUUUCCCCACUUUAUGAAUAUUAGAGUGGUUUUCUUUUGCAAUGUGGCUUGGCCUGCAUUUCAAAGUCCACAUUUUGAGUGGUUCCCUGUGAUUUUUGGACACUUGGCAUUUUCUGGGUCCAACUCAGAGAACUGUUUGAUUUUCAAAUAUUCAGAGCAUUCUCAAAGCCUGUUAAGUACAGACAAUACUUUCAGUGUUCUUUAGGUCCUUUAGGCUUAUUUUUUCAUUAACCCAAAACUGAGGUAAAAAAAAUCCUGUGUUCUAUGAAUUCCACAGUGUUGUGCAGAGAAGGGCAGUGGGAAAACUGAGUUAAAUGCAGGAUUCAAGUUUUUCUGACUCUUGCACAACUUGUUGUCUAAUGGACCCCAUAGGCUCUCAGCAAUACCAGCUGUCUCUAAAAUUCAACCAACAGUGGAAAUGACUACCGCUGUUCUGUCCAUGGAAAGCAUGAAAAGGUUAUUUAAAAAAAAAAAAAAAAGAGUGGCUUGCUUAGAUAUCACACAAAUGUAUUUGCUUUUUUUUUACUUAGUGAAAAGGCUGUAUUAUAAAAGUAAACUUUUCAAAACAGAAAAAGUAGGUAUCAAAUACAGGAAAGAAACAAAAAGACUAUAAAGUAAUCUUUACAAAAGCAGAUUGCACUGACACUGUCUUGCUCACAGUAACACACAAAGUAAUUUCAUAAAACCCAGCUUUUAUCUUGUUCUAAUAAAACAUCAAGCUAGCAACAUUAUGGUGAGGGCUUUCAUUUUCUUUUUGAUAUAGAUUCUGAUUGGAAGUAUUAGCUGAUGCAGCAGGAUAAAUAAAGAAAUGCCUAGAUUGUUAUGGUUCCCAAAGGUCAUUUUUAUGAAAAGAUCAGGAAAUAUGUUUCAUUGAAAUUAAAAGUAAAGCCAUAUCAAGUUUAAUAACAUUGUUACCAUAAUGACAUAAAAUUCAGUGAGAUGGUGUAAUGUUUAAUAUUUGACUGUCAAGCCUCUGCAGUGAAGCUGUGUGAAAGCAUUUAAACUUCUAAAACUGAAUUUCCUUUCAGUUUUAUUGCUGUUUUAUACCCAUCUCCUUUUUUUCCUUGCCGUAAUAUUCUGUGUUUCUUUGUUGAAUUUGAUGUUAUCAGUAAAAUACAAUAAAAACUCGUGGAGGGCCACAUCUCUGUUCCAUAGAAGACUUAGCAAGGCAUCCCCAGAUGACCAAAGGCUGUCUGUGCCAAAUCAUUUUUUCCAUCAAGUAAGAACCCCAGCAGUGUUGUAGGGCAUGGCAAGAGGGACGCUGUCAGGGCACAGCUACCCUCUGGGUUUUCUCAGUUGUGGCACUGUCAGAGGUGGAUUAAUAUGAGAAGCUGUAUCAGCCCUCAGCGAUUCUGGGAAAGGUCUGGCAUAAUGCCACUGUUCCUGGGUCUGCAUUCACAUAAACAAUUGUAAAGACGACUGAAGCCAGCAACUGCGAAGCCCGAGUGGUCUCUGGCUUUGUACAGCCUUUUGUUGGACACUGUGCUGAGUGCUAGGAUCAGAGAAUUGAAAAGUUUACAGCUUGGCACAGCUCUGCAAAAUUCUGAUUUUCAGAUAAAUAAACAAAACCCUGUCUCCAUCCCUGGGACCAAAAUUAUUCAAUACACUAAACAACAAGUAACAUUCUGGAAACAAAUUCUUUCUUUAAAAUGCAAGCUUGGUUUAGCACAUUUUCCCAGGAUGAAUUUCACCAGUUUAGCUUAAGAGUUGUUCAGUCUCAUCAGUGUAAAAAACAAGUAGCUGUGAACAUUCCUGAAACACUUACUUGGAGAUUCUCAUAAAGGAAAGAUCCGAGUGCCCGAACCACCAGAGUCCAUACAACCAUAGAACUGCUUGAGUUGGAAGGGACCCUUAAAGUCCAUCUUGUUCAACCCCCCUGCAAUGAACAGGGACACCUACAGCCAGAUCAGGUUGCUCCCCUUUAGAUACUGAAAGGCUACUAUCAGGUCUUCCUGGAUAUUUCUCUUCUGCAGGCUGAACAGCCCUGGCUGUAAUACAGCUAAAUAUUCUGAUGGUUUUACCUCAUAGUUUUCCAUCAGCUUUGGUUGCUGAUAGAGGAUGCAAAGAUUGAGGAUUUAAGCUUGCUGUAUUUGUUCUCUUUGUCUUUUUGCCAGACUGGCUGUGAUGAGCAGGUACUGGAUAUGCAGUUUGGUCUGUUGCAGCUGUUCUAGUACAUAAUCUGAUUCAAAAACAGGGAAUAUUUGGAGACUCUUAUUGGUAAAUACUGCUACUAUGGAUUUUAUAAGUACUGCAGAUGUGCCCUUGCCACCUUUGAUCUAGUAACAUGGUGCUUCUUACUAUGUGGACAAAUAGCUCUGAAUGUACAACUCAAAGAUUUGCCACUCUCCAUGAACAAGCUUCACUUUCUGCCAUUUGUGUCUGAGGUUAUUAUUUGAGCUGUGUGGAUCAUUCCUUACGAAAAUUAGAACUGUGAGCUAUUUAGCUGGACUUAUCUUUUCUAUAAAGGUGAAACUAAAUAGGUCUGACACAAAAUAGCUGCGAAAAGGAGAGAUUCUGAUUCUCCUUGGAGCUUGUUUUAUACCAUCUUAAAUUGCAUGUUUGCUAAUUCCUCUGUCUUAAAGACCUCAAGGAAGGCAGAAAGUAUGAUACAUCUACAUGAGUUGUACCCAGCUCUAGGCUGAUAGAGACUUUAGGCAGUAUUAAAACUGCCAUCGAUUCCAAAUCCCUAUCUUUGGGUCACAAUAAGACCAAUGAAGGUCUGCACAUGGGCCUUAACACACCUAUGUUGCUGCUAUCUUGUCUCCUGAAGCAUGACAUCCUUCUUAUAGAUUCACUGAAUCAACAUGUAAACUUCUCUAAUAAAAAUGGAAAUAAGAGUUUAUUUCUGCAUUUUAGUUUUUCUUUGCAUUUUCUGGAAGCAGUGCAAUAUAAUUCAGAUGCAGUGUGAGAAAGGCACUAUGAAAUCAUAAAUAAAGGACUCCAGUAUUCCUUUAUGAAAAAUCUUUUAACAUAAUAAAUUAAUAAUUAUUACUUCUACGGGGUUUUAUUUUGUUGGUGGUGGUGGUGUUUGGUGUUUUUUGUUGUUUGGUUCUUUUGAAGAAUCCUGUAAACCUUAACAGGAAAUUACAUGUCCAGUGCAAAAGUGUAUGAGAAGAGUCAAGAAAUCUAUGUCAUGGCUGUCAUUCUUCUUUCAAGACUAUUAACCUGAAAUCCUGGCUUCACUGCAUCUUAGCACUAAUUUCAGCAAAAAGUCAGAUGUUCACUACAUCAUGCUUUAGAAGCAACUGUCACUGUGUUAAAUUCUGCUCCUUCUUUCCCAUUCUCUUUUCCUGCUUGUCAGGUAAGUGUCCAUAAAUGUCUUGAGGCCAAAAUAAACCAGCGUGUGGAAAGGCAGAUGACUAGGAACAAGAAGGCAGAAUUCUUUGGUAAGACCAGGUAGAAGUAGAUAGGACAAAGGGUUUGAUGAAAAGGUUGAUGAAGGUUUGGAGAUUGAUGAGGAUUCUACAUCUCAAGCCAAAAUGCAGGGGUUAAAGUAUUGCAGAAUUAUUUGGUCUUCAGUGAGAAAAAUGGUUCUGCUAAGUAGUUAUACAAAUGUACUAUUUAGUCAUUCACCACAAGAAAGUGUCAGGUUUUACUGUUACAGAGCAAAGAGGGACUACAGAGGAACAUACUGCUUUCCUUAGCCUUGCUCUCCUUCUGGAUGCAAUGUUUUGUGUUACAACAUCUUGAAAACUUUUCAGUCAGAGAAAGGAGCAGCCCUGCAGCAAUGAAAGAGCAGGUGAUGGACUAAUAAUAGGAUCUCUUGUUUAUUUCCUCUUCCUUUAUUGAUGAUCAGCCUGUGGUGUGUUGAGCUGGAAGGCAGAAAAAAAAAAAGGCCAGGUCUCACAUUAGCAAGGAGUCCUCCAGCUGUUAAAGGUAAAAGUCAUCCUGGGUGAGGUCAGUCUCUCACAGUGACUCAAACGGACAGUCUUGCUUGUGUCAGCAGAAGCUCAGCUACCAUCACAGCUGCACAAACGUGGGCACUGCUUCUUCAACUAACUGCCUGGAGAUUAGACAGGUUGCUGCACGUAGGGAAGGCAGAAAGAACUCUGGUAGGAUGAACACAGGUUGGAGUGUCGGAGUGAACACUGUGAGCCCUUCCUGUUCAAGGUUACAAGAGAAGGAGGGGCCACAUUCUGAACGUGGCAGGGCUAGGCAUGUAUGGAAAAGCCUGGGAAGCAGCAAGUCUUUUUUCCUAGUUCAAAGGCCUAACCAAGCUGUUCUAGGCACCAUGAGCAUGAGCUGGGAGAGCCCAACAAGUCACUGCCAGUGCUCUGCUGCCUGGCACCAAGGCUGCUUUUUGCUUUCAGAUGCUCUGUUGUUUCUCGUUUUUAUAACACCAGUCCUUGCCAGGUGCUCCUGGGGUCUAUUUUAAGGCAAAUAAAAAUGUUUUGUCUUUCAAAAUAUCUGUGAGAUCUCUGGGGAAAACGUACUGAAAUUUUGGUUUCCAGAAACUCUCACAGAAAGUCUGAAAAUUCAAAACACUGAGAGAAAUUUGGGUUUUGAAUCCUUGAAAGCAUGCAAUCUUACAGUGGUCCUAGCAAUUAAAGCACUGGCAGCUGAUUUCCCAUAGAAUCAGAAGCGCCAGAUAUCAUGCCAGAGGUUCAUUUACUGAGCUGAUCCACUGUGGGCAGAAGCUCAAUGUUCCUGCAAUGGUCCUUAGGGCAAAACAAUUCCCUCAAAAAAGAGAAGAUGAUUCAGAAUUAUUUCACCGAAAACACACCUGGUAUUUUCUGGGUCUACUCUAGCAAGGAAACAAAUCUACAAUAAAACAAGCAUAAAACAAUGGAUAAGACACUGCUGAAUGUUUGGUCCCGUGGACAAGACAGGAGAUAAUGCAGAUCGUUGAUACUGAAUAAACAUCAAACUCUAAGCUGCACUCACUUGCCAUGUUCUGUUUUCUUGAUUAAAUCGAGUUGUUUUUGUUGAGAGGAAGAUAUAGCAAGCUGACAGCCAUACCGCCCUACCUUGCACACAACUCUACAGUAUAGAACUUAGUGUGUUUACAGUCAAUGUUCGCUAAAUCUGAGUUGCCAGGUGAAAUCAUUGCAUUUGCCUGUUUCCUUGUCUAAUGAAAAAAAUGCUUGUGAUAGCACUUGAGGUCACAACAGCACUUGGCUAAUGCAGUGAUGAUUUAAAAAACAAACAAACCAAAAAAAAAAAACAACCAUAAUUUUUUUCUGGAUUUGUUACAUGUGGGAUUUAAAGGCAGUUGCUGUACAGUGCCUGGAAACCUGAUUCACCUGUGUCACAAUUCAUCCAAUACAUCACGAUAACAACAUGUCUGAGGGAUGGGAGGCCAUCCAGAGAGAUCUAGACAGGCUUGAGCAGUGGGUCCAGGUGAACCUCAUAAGGUUCGACAAAUCCAAAUGCAUGGUCCGGCACCUGGAUCAUGGCAAUCCCCGCUAUAAAUACAAGCUGAGGUACUAGAAGAUAGAGCACGGCCCUGUUGAGAAAGACUUGGGGGUACUGGUGGAUGGCAAGCUGGACAUGAGCCAGCAAUGUGCCUUCUCAGCCGAGAAAGCCAGCUGUAUCCUGGGCUGCAUCAAAAGAAGCAUAGCCAGCAGGUCAAGGGACAUGAUCCUUUCCACCUCUAAGACCUCACCUGGAGCACUCCAUCCAGAUGUGGAAUUCUCAGUACAGGAGAGUCAUGGACCUGUUGGAGCGCAUCCAGAGGAGGGCCACAAAAAUGAUCCAAGGGGUGGAACACCUCCCCUGUGAGCACAGGCUGAGAGAGCUGAGGCUGUUCAGCCUGGAGAAGAGAAGGCUCUGGGGAGACUUCAUAGUGGCCUUUCAGUAUCUAAAGUGGGAGUGUAAGAAGGAAAGGGACAGACUCCUUAGCAGAAUCUGUUGUGACAGGACAAGGGGAAAUGGUUCCAAACCAAUAGAGGGGAGAUUUAGACUGGAUAUAGGGAAGAAGCUAUUUACUGUAAGGAUGGCAUGGAUGUCCUGUCCCUGGAAACACUCAAGGUCAGGCUGAAGCAAUCUGAUGUAGCUGCAGAUAUCCCUGUUUAUUGCAGGGGAGUUGAACUACGUGAGCAUUAAGGGUCUCUUCCAACUCAGAUUAUUCCUUGAUAAUUUAUCAAGGAAGUCUGAGGGCUUGGACAGGGUGUUGAUGAGACACUGAAGUAUGUGGACACCAUUACUUACUAUAUUAUGUCCUCAAGGAGUGGUGUGGAGGGAAUGGCUGCCCUUACCCCAUGGUACAGGUGCUUUUUAUCUGCAUCUCCCAGGAUCCAAAGAGAAGCCCCACUCCUUGAUCACUGAAGAUCAAAUUGAGCUAUUUACCUUCUCAAGUGUUAACAUGCAUUGGUGGCAUAUGCUUCCAAGGCUUUCUUUUGCUUGGUUUUGUUGUAUACAUGUGGAUAAUGCCAGAUAAGAUUUUGGCGCUAAGAAGGUUUCACUGAGUGCUUCUCUUUUCACCUCAUUUUGGUCUCUCCUUCUUUAAUGACCAGUGAAUUACAGUCAAUUAAAGGUGACUGAUAGGAACUGCAGGGAAUACACUCAUAAAGAAUUAUGAAAAAUAGCCAUGUACCUUGUGACCAGCGUAUACAAAUUACAUCAUAAGCAGGAAGUAGUUAUGGUUGAUUGGAGCAAUUAAAUGUUUUCUUUAAGAAAGGAAAAAAAACCCUCCAGUGAGAAUAUUUUAGAAAAUGGCUUUUUAAUCAUCUGUAGAACUGCUAGAAUGUCUGUCUUCUAAUAGUUUUAAAGUGUUCCUUAUUUAGAAUUAACUGUAAUUCUACAGAAUAGCCAAAUACUUCCCCAGGAACCUGCUUACAUGAAAGUUUAUUUUUAAUCACAAGAUCACAUCCAAAAAAAUUUACAUAGGCCAAAGGAGACCAGAGAAGAUCUGAGCACCUGUCCCCGGUGUGUAAACAGCUACAAAUUUGGGAGCCAUUGCACAGGAGAGAACACUUUCUACAAUGAUUCAGGAAGACAUGCACACAGCAAGAUUCACCACUCAAAUAAGAAGCAUUAACGCUGACAGAAAAAUCAGGUGUUUCCAGCAGCAUCAGAUGCAUACUAACCAGCAUCCUGCCACAUUAAUCAACCAGCUAAUGCCUUCAGACUUGGCUGGUUCAUCAUCUAUCCUCAUCCCUGUAGACACCACUAGUUCCGCAUGGGCAAGGACACAUUUUGGGAGGGGAAGGACCAUGGCAGCAUGCUGUGGAAGAGCAGUCUCUGCCUAGCAGUGUGGUGAGCUGCAUAUGAGCCACAUGGGCAGAUGACAAGGGACAGCUUGGUGGUGCCCGUGCAAGCCAAUGGGGGAGCUUCUGCGCGUAACAUGCCUCAGCAGUCCACUUUUGCCUGCCCGUGGAUGGGAAUGCUGCUGGUCUGCACAGCCUGGGCAUAGGCAGCGGGGGCAGUGCUGGCAGUGCGUACCAGCACCCAGCACACCAGAUGAGAGCAUGCGAAUUGGAAACUGGCUAUUAUAGACAAUAGCCCUAAAAAUCAUCCUCUUGGUACAGAGAGAACACAUGCCUGAUACUCUACCAAUUGCCUAGCUUAACACUGAGGAUACAGCUCAGGAUGUCAUAUAUGUUCACACCUUCUUUCAAGGAGACUCAUGAUGCUGGAAAAGGGUGAAAAGGCUGUAAACAGUGUUCUUUGGUCAAAGAAACCCAGAACAUGUUUCAUAUAAUAAGGUUAUUUUUACUAUUUUUUAAUCUCAGCAGAAAAUUCAUUAUAUUCCUCCUUUUUCUCUCAGCUUCGACUGUGUAUCCCCUUUGUGCUUGCAAAACAAAGGUUAUUUUUUACUCACCUGUAUAAAAUGCUUGAAGAACUCCAGAUGAUUAAAGAUAUAAAAGUCAAAGGAAAUAUGUAUAUAUGCAUGUUUAUAUAUAAUUGUUGUUACUGUUGCAGUCUGCGAGAAAAACAAAAAUUAUUCCUAGCAGAGCGUCAGGUUUUUAUUUAUUUAUUUUUUUAUGACUUUGGAAGCUUUUUAAUAGCUAGUGAUCAGAUGAAACAACUGCUCUUGAAAUCAAUGAGAACUGGAUUACGUGCUGGAGAAGAGAAAGCUUCAGGAGAAAAUGUUUACAUUACUGUUAUCUUAGAUAAUCACCAUUUCUGCCUAUGUCUUCCAGAAAAACUCAUUUUGUUUCUCUGAAAAAUAUGUAAUGAUUUCAAGAUCAUUUCAGAGGCCAAACACGCUAGAAAUUCAAAUCCAUGAUCUAAAUGCUUACAAAAAGUGUCUCAGAUCAGUAAAAACAAGCUGAAGAGAAUGAGAAGAUACUCUUUGAUUAUCUAACCUCCUUGACUGCAGUACGUUUAUUCUGUUUUCUUCUUACCGUUUUCUUCUUCUUGAGGAUUUGAAAUUACUUCUCUUUGAAUGUAGAGGAUAUAAAUUAAUCAAUAAAGUCAAUAGUAGCCCUUAUAAACAUAGCUUAAAUAUAUAUCUGUGUGUCCUACGCUACAAAAGAUAGCAGCAACUGAAGCAAUUUCCCCCAUGGCCUAAAUCCUAACUACCAUCUAGUUCCAGGAAAGCUAGUACAGCAUUUGCUGUUUCACACAGAUGCCAUAAAACAGACAGACCAUUAAAAUGAACACUGACACAUUUAUAGUCAUACAGCUUGGCUCUUCGCUGUGACGUUGCCCUUGAAGUGUUGAUGUCAUACCAAAAUUGCACCUCCUCCUACAGUGUAAAUUAUUCUGUAAUUCCAUGGUUCUGUGAUAGCACUACUGUGCCCACCAGUGCUACAAUGGACUCGUUAACAGCUGAGCCUUUCCUUACCACUACAGCCUCAUGAACUGCCUCUCUGCUGCUCUUCACUGCAGGAGGCCAGCUUACAUUGCUAUUGGUAUUAACUGUUAACCAGCCUAUCUGCACUCAGACAGAAAUCAGAGUGAAACAGCAACAUUCAGCAUUUCUCAAAAGGUAAUCUAAGUUCUGGAUUUUCCAUCCAAGUGGCACAAAGUCCUUUGUAACAUGCAGCGACAAGGCUUGCAAUUCAGGC
ensembl:lncRNA